GCAAGUCGAACGGUAACAGAUCCUUCGGGAUGCUGACGAGUGGCGCACGGGUGCGUAACGCGUAGGCAAUCUACCUCUAUCUGGGGGAUAGCUUUCGGAAACGAAAAUUAAUACCCCAUAAUAUCAUUGAAUUGCAUGAUUUAAUGAUUAAAACUCCGGUGGAUAGAGAUGAGCAUGCGUCCUAUUAGUUUGUUGGUGAGGUAACGGCUCACCAAGACUACGAUAGGUAGGGGGCCUGAGAGGGUGAUC
rnacentral:rRNA from 1 species